rnacentral:rRNA from 1 species
CAGUCGCCGCGGUAAUACGAAGGGGGCUAGCGUUGCUCGGAAUUACUGGGCGUAAAGGGAGCGUAGGCGGACAUUUAAGUCAGGGGUGAAAUCCCAGAGCUCAACUCUGGAACUGCCUUUGAUACUGGGUGUCUUGAGUGUGAUAGAGGUAUGUGGAACUCCGAGUGUAGAGGUGAAAUUCGUAGAUAUUCGGGAGAACAUCAGUGGCGAAGGCGACAUACUGGAUCAUUACUGACGCUGAGGCUCGAAAGCGUGGGGAGCAAACAGGAUUAGAUACCCCAGUAGUCCCUGUCUCUUAUAU